GGAUGAACGCUAGCGGCAGGCUUAACACAUGCAAGUCGAGGGGUAACAGGGAUUGCUUGCAAUCCGCUGACGACCGGCGCACGGGUGCGUAACGCGUAUGCAACCUACCUUCUACAGGGGGAUAGUCAAUAGAAAUGUUGAAUAAUACCCCAUACGAUCUUUAAAUAGCAUUAUUUAAAGAAGAAAGCUCCGGCGGUAGAAGAUGGGCAUGCGUCCUAUUAGUUAGUUGGUAAGGUAACGGCUUACCAAGACUUCGAUAGGUAGGGGUCCUGAGAGGGAGACCCCCCACACUGGUACUGAGACACGGACCAGACUCCUACGGGAGGCAGCAGUGAGGAAUAUUGGACAAUGGAGGCAACUCUGAUCCAGCCAUGCCGCGUGCAGGAAGACUGCCCUAUGGGUUGUAAACUGCUUUUAUACAGGAAGAAAUAUACCUACGUGUAGGUAUUUGACGGUACUGUACGAAUAAGGAUCGGCUAACUCCGUGCCAGCAGCCGCGGUAAUACGGAGGAUCCAAGCGUUAUCCGGAAUCAUUGUGUUUAAAGGGUCCGUAGGCGGUCUUUUAAGUCAGAGGUGAAAUCCUACAGCUCAACUGUAGAAUUGCCUUUGAUACUGAAAGACUUGAGUUAUUGUGAAGUAGUUAGAAUGUGUGGUGUAGCGGUGAAAUGCAUAGAGAUCACACAGAAUACCGAUUGCGAAGGCAGAUUACUAACAAUAUACUGACGCUGAGGGACGAAAGCGUGGGUAGCGAACAGGAUUAGAUACCCUGGUAGUCCACGCCGUAAACGAUGGAUACUAGCUGUUCGACCAACAUUGGUUGGUUGAGUGGCUAAGCGAAAGUGAUAAGUAUCCCACCUGGGGAGUACGGUCGCAAGACUGAAACUCAAAGGAAUUGACGGGGGCCCGCACAAGCGGUGGAGCAUGUGGUUUAAUUCGAUGAUACGCGAGGAACCUUACCAGGGCUUAAAUGUAAGUUGCAUGAUUUAGAGAUAGAUCUUUCUUCGGACUACUUACAAGGUGCUGCAUGGUUGUCGUCAGCUCGUGCCGUGAGGUGUCAGGUUAAGUCCUAUAACGAGCGCAACCCCUGUCGUUAGUUGCCAGCAAGUUAAGUUGGGCACUCUAGCGAGACUGCCAGUGCAAACUGUGAGGAAGGUGGGGAUGACGUCAAAUCAUCACGGCCCUUACGUCCUGGGCUACACACGUGCUACAAUGGUCGGUACAGAGAGCAGCCACUACGCGAGUAGGAGCGAAUCUAUAAAACCGAUCUCAGUUCGGAUCGCAGUCUGCAACUCGACUGCGUGAAGCUGGAAUCGCUAGUAAUCGGAUAUCAGCCAUGAUCCGGUGAAUACGUUCCCGGGCCUUGUACUCACCGC
rnacentral:rRNA from 1 species